rnacentral:rRNA from 1 species
AUGUACGAGGAUGUGGUUAAGUGGCGGUUCACGGGUUUUUAUGGUCACCCGAAAUGGAAUGAACGCCAUCUUUCUUGGGACGAUAUUUGCAAUCUAUAUAGUACAGGUAACCACCCCUGGGUAGUUUUGGGGGAUUUUAAUGAAAUUUUAUACCCAUCGGAAAAAGAGUGUGGUAUGGCUAGACCACUUGGUAUGAUGAGAGAAUUUCGUGAAUGUCUAAUGGAUUGCGGGCUAGAGGACCUAGGUUAUACGUGUGACCUUUUCACUUGGAGUAGAGGCGAAAUACGUGAACGUCUUGAUCGAGCGGUCUGUAAUAUAGCAUGGGCAAACAAAUUCCCGCGAGCGGCAGUGAUCAACGAAGAACAUGUUCAUUCUGAUCAUCGCCCGAUCGUACUGGAUACAGAUUACUUAGAUGAAAAAAUCUUUAAACAAUCAGAGGGGCGUGUUAAACAGUUUGAGGCAAGGUGGUUCAAGGAAGAGACGGUCACUGAAAUUGUUAAGGCAUCAUGGGAGAAAGCAAAACUUGCAGGUAUUGGACCCUCACUUGCUGAUCGUACAAGAGUAGUGCAUGCCGAUCUGCAUAAUUGGGACCGGGAAACUCUGAAGGGACCAAAGGUGAGAAUUAUGAAAUUAAAAAAAGAAUUUGAGAGAAUAAGGUGUGGCCCAAUGAAUGCGGAGUCUCAAUGUCGCUAG